AACGUAGGAGACUAGCGUUAUCCGGAUUUACUGGGCGUAAAGGGCGCGUAGGCGGCCUUCUAAGUCGAACGUGAAAUCCCCGGGCUCAACCCGGGAACUGCGUCCGAUACUGGAAGGCUUGAAUCCGGGAGAGGGAUGCGGAAUUCCAGGUGUAGCGGUGAAAUGCGUAGAUAUCUGGAGGAACACCGGUGGCGAAGGCGGCAUCCUGGACCGGCAUUGACGCUGAGGCGCGAAAGCCAGGGGAGCAAACGGG
rnacentral:rRNA from 1 species